rnacentral:rRNA from 1 species
UACAGAGGUCUCAAGCGUUGUUCGGAUUCAUUGGGCGUAAAGGGUGCGUAGGUGGCGUGGUAAGUCGGGUGUGAAAUUUCGGAGCUUAACUCCGAAACUGCAUUCGAUACUGCCGUGCUUGAGGACUGGAGAGGAGACUGGAAUUUACGGUGUAGCAGUGAAAUGCGUAGAGAUCGUAAGGAAGACCAGUGGCGAAGGCGGGUCUCUGGACAGUUCCUGACACUGAGGCACGAAGGCCAGGGGAGCAAACGG